UACGUAGGAUCCGAGCGUUAUCCGGAUUUAUUGGGUUUAAAGGGUGCGCAGGUUGUUUGGUAAGUCAGUGGUGAAAGUCUGUCGCUUAACGGUAGGAUUGCCAUUGAUACUGUUGGACUUGAAUAUGGAUGAGGUAGGCGGAAUGUGUAGUGUAGCGGUGAAAUGCAUAGAUAUUACACAGAACACCGAUUGCGAAGGCAGCUUACUAAUCCAUCAUUGACGCUGAGGCACGAAAGCGUGGGGAUCACACAGGAUUA
rnacentral:rRNA from 1 species